rnacentral:rRNA from 1 species
UACGAAGGGUGCAAGUGUUAUUCGGAAUUACUGGGCGUAAAGCGUGCGUAGGUGGUUCGUUAAGUCUGAUGUGAAAGCCCUGGGCUCAACCUGGGAAUGGCAUUGGAAACUGGCGAGCUAGAGUGCGGUAGAGGGUAGUGGAAUUCCCGGUGUAGCAGUGAAAUGCGUAGAGAUCGGGAGGAACAUCUGUGGCGAAGGCGACUACCUGGACCAGCACUGACACUGAGGCACGAAAGCGUGGGGAGCAAACAGG